UUCCAUAUCUUCCGAGCUGCAGAUAAGAUCACAAAUCAAAACACAAUUCCAACAACAGAUCAGAAACUUUCAUCAACCCUAAAGCAAAACGAACACAAUCCAAGUAAAUAAGACAGUAAAAUUCAGUCUCCUAACACUAACAUGCGCUGACAUGCUCUGAAAAACACAUCAUAAUUCAUAA